CUGGGCAAAGCACGGGCGUCUUCCCCGCCAGCGUCGUCUAAGCAACUGGAGGUGGGCUCAACUUUCUCUUCCCUGGGAACACGUGUAUCGCAUACUUUGCUUAGAAGCUCCUGUUUUUCUUGUUGGAGAAACUGCAUCGCUCCAUCCUAGGGUAACUGGACUCUCCAUUUACAGACCACUCUAUAGCACUCUUUACAAAGCGCUGUUUAUUUAUUUGCUCCAUUCUCUUCCAUCCAUAAAGCAACAUCGGGAUUAAAGCAAAGAAAAGCUGAAGAUGCGGCUUUGUGUGUAACCUGAGGAGAGGAGCUCGGAGUCACCUGGGAACUCCUGAACUGGCGCACACCCUGUGUGGCUCCAUCGUGCCACAGCCCUGCAGUUCACAUAGGGAAAUCCCGUGUUGAACCAUCCCAGCGCACACUUAAACAUAAAGUGCUUUUCACGUGCUUUUAAGAUA